rnacentral:rRNA from 1 species
AUUGAACGCUGGCGGCAGGCCUAACACAUGCAAGUCGAACGGUAACAGGAAGAAGCUUGCUUCUUUGCUGACGAGUGGCGGACGGGUGAGUAAUGUCUGGGAAACUGCCUGACGGAGGGGGAUAACUACUGGAAACGGUAGCUAAUACCGCAUAACGUCGCAAGACCAAAGAGGGGGACCUUCGGGCCUCUUGCCAUCGGAUGUGCCCAGAUGGGAUUAGCUAGUAGGUGGGGUAACGGCUCACCUAGGCGACGACCCCUAGCUGGUCUGAGAGGAUGACCAGCCACACUGGAACUGAGACACGGUCCAGACUCCUACGGGAGGCAGCAGUGGGGAAUAUUGCACAAUGGGCGCAAGCCUGAUGCAGCCAUGCCGCGUGUAUGAAGAAGGCCUUCGGGUUGUAAAGUACUUUCAGCGGGGAGGAAGGGAGUAAAGUUAAUACCUUUGCUCAUUGACGUUACCCGCAGAAGAAGCACCGGCUAACUCCGUG